rnacentral:rRNA from 1 species
UACAGAGGGGGCGAGCGUUAUUCGGAAUUAUUGGGCGUAAAGGGCGCGUAGGCGGUUACUUAAGUCAGAUGUGUAAUCCCCGAGCUUAACUUGGGAACUGCAUUUGAGACUGGGAGGCUAGAGUACUGGAGAGGGUGGUGGAAUUCCUCGUGUAGCGGUGAAAUGCGUAGAGAUGAGGAGGAACACCAGUGGCGAAGGCGGCCACCUGGACAGUAACUGACGCUGAGGAGCGAAAUUGUCGGUAGCAAACAGG